rnacentral:lncRNA from 1 species
AUGGAGCCUGUGGGCAGUGAAUACAUGAGGACUCUGAUCCUAGAGGCAAACAACAAGAUGCAGAGGCUGGAAAGCAUAUAGAAUCAGGAAAAAAGUUGUCUAAAAUGACCCACAAUGUUAUGAAAAACGUUAAUGUGAUUGGCUAAGGCCUGAAGGAUCUCUUCCAGCACCAGCACAGGAGGACAUCAGUGUCUCCAUACCAUGUGCAGCAAAUUCAGGCCAAUCCAGAACCUGAAAUGGAUCUGGAAAGCCAGAAUGCAUGUGCUGAGACUGAUGGUGUCUCCACCCACUCCACAGCUCUGAAUCAUGUCCUACAGAAGAUUAAAAUGCCACCUUAGAUGAAGAGAGGAACAAGCCUGCGUAGUAGGUAGGACAAGCCAGAAGCCCCAAGGGAAGUUCCCAAAUCAGGAAAUAUGGCUAGGAGAUGACAGCUGUUAUGCAGUCAGGUCAACCCAGGUCUUCAUCCACAGCUGAUGCCCCUAUCAGCUUCACUAUAAUGGAAAUAACAUGUGCUGCUGCUGCUGCAUGUCUGCCAAGAGAGGAGGGAACUGCAGAGUGGAUUAAGUGGUUGGAAGUAAGCAGCCUCACUCAGACAUCCAGUGCAGUGGUCUCCAGUACUAAUGACAGCAUUCACACAGACUCCAUGGAUGGAACAGCAGACCCUCAGUGAAAAAAAAAAUCCUGCUAUUUUUCACCUGCAGCAGAAGAUCCUGAUGCUCACAUAACAGAUCAAGAUUGCACAGCCUGGGAUGACAGCAUUGCUGAGUACUUGAAGCUUGCCAACAGCUCGGACAAGUAGUAGGCUGGCUGAAUCAAGCAGGACUUCGAGAAGAAGAACCAGAAAUCUGCCCAAAUCAUCCUCCAGGUACAAAAGAAGCUUGAGCACUACCACAGGAUGCUGUAAGAGGUGGAGUAGAAUGGGAUCCCCCAGCAACCAAAGGAUGUCUUUAGGAACAUGCAGCAGGGUCUGAAGGAUGUGGGAGUGAAGGUGACUGGCUUCAGUGAAGGUGUGGCAGGUGGUGUCAAAGGUAGAUUUUCCAGUUUCUCUCAGGCCAGCUAUUCAGCAAUAGGGACCAUGGUCUCAAAACCCAGAGAUUUUGCCUCAAUGAUUUGGAACAGAUUUGGCAGUACAGACGACAUCUGUAACCUAAAGUACUGUUUAGAGGUAGGGCAAGUGGAUGAUGAGGGGAAGGCUUUGGGAGUGAUUUUGAACUUUCAGUGAUGCCCACAAUAUGGCAGUCAGGAAGAUUGUCCUAGGACUAUUUUAGGCUCAGUGGGAGUCAACAGCACCACUGGUGGCAUAACUGUAGGAACAUCCAGCUCCAAAAAGAAUACCCUGCACAUACAAAGCCUGGGGUUUGAUGCACUAUUACAUGAGAUCCAGGAGAUCUGGGAAACCCAGGCCAGGCUAGAGAAAUCCUUUGACACUCUCAAGGAACAUUACCAGAGGGACAAUUUGUUAAUAAUGAAGACCUUAUGGGAGGAGUGAAAUAGAUGUGAAUGAUUAGAAGAAGAACGAAAUGACCUAAAGGAGCUUCGCCAGAAUGAAAUCUUGAACUUGAAGAAGGAAUGACCUAAAGGAGCUUCACCAGAAUGAAAUCUUGAACUUGAAGCAGGAACUGGUCAGCAGGGAAAAAAUUUGCAUAUCAGGAUGGGCCUGGGAAAUCCAGGAGGCAUGCCAGACCUGCGUUUCUAAGAUGGAGCUGGAUAUUCAUGAUGCAGCACUAGCAGGUGGUGGAGCUAGAAGGGCUGGAGAAUGCCACUGCCUGGAAUCUUCUGGACAAAGUCAUCGACAUCCUCCUUGCUGUCAUGGCAGUCCUUUUGGUCUUUUUCUCCAUGGUAGCCAACAGUGUGGCCCCCCUCAUGCAAACUUGCAAUGCGGUGUUCAGUACUUUAUUCCCUGUGGUUUUCAUUGCCUUUCUCUGGAAGCACCAGGCUGCCCCCUUCAGCUAUGUGAAAUGAUUCUUUUCAUCCCCAAAU